UACGUAGGGGGCAAGCGUUGUCCGGAAUCAUUGGGCGUAAAGAGCGUGUAGGCGGCCAGAUAAGUCUGGUGUGAAAUCUGGGGGCUCAACCCUCAGCGGUCACUGGAAACUAUCUGGCUUGAGUCCGGAAGAGGAGAGUGGAAUUCCUGGUGUAGCGGUGGAAUGCGCAGAUAUCAGGAGGAACACCAACGGCGAAGGCAGCUCUCUGGUACGUGACUGACGCUGAGACGCGAAAGCGUGGGUAGCAAACAGG
rnacentral:rRNA from 1 species